AACGAACGCUGGCGGCACGCCUAACACAUGCAAGUCGAACGCGAACGCUUCUUCGGAAGUUAUUAGAGUGGCGCACGGGUGAGUAACACGUGGGAACAUACCUUUUAGUACGGAACAACCAUUGGAAACGAUGGCUAAUACCGUAUACGCCCUACGGGGGAAAGAUUUAUCGCUAAAAGAUUGGCCCGCGCUAGAUUAGUUAGUUGGUGAGGUAAUGGCUCACCAAGGCUACGAUCUAUAGCUGGUUUGAGAGGAUGAUCAGCCACACUGGGACUGAGACACGGCCCAG
rnacentral:rRNA from 1 species